rnacentral:lncRNA from 1 species
UAGAUUAAUCCAAUAAAUUUCAUUCACUUCGCAUACUCAAUCCUAUAGAAAUCCUUUUAAUUCUUCAAUCACAGACGUAACUUCGAUUUCACAAAACAAUCAAGAGUAAUCAAACCUACUUCAUUAAAAAUCCCGAUUCACCAUUACAACACUGACUUCAGCAACGAUUGCCUCAGUCUUUCCAAAACCCUUUAAAGAAAAAAACCCGAAUCUCUAUCUUUUUUCCUCGCCCCGAAGCAUGAAGCUAGCUCUCCGACCCUUCAAAACCCCACAAAACUUAUUCUCUUCCCUUCAUUUCUUAACCUAUCCUCCCCUUUAAUCCUAAUUCUUUCAUCUCUGAAACCCUAGCCUGUGAAUUUCUUCAAUCUUCUGUCUUGGAUCUGAAAUUGGCUCUCGUCGUUAGAGCUUUCUCUUCUAUUUUUAUCUUUAAGAGAUCUUUUUAUCGAAAGGACAUUCUCGGAACGCCACAAAGGAUGGAACAGCCUGAAACAGAAUCGGAACCCCGUAAUCGAGACCACAUUGUAUCGCCCGACCAAUUCAGGUCUCAUAUUGGCUAAGUGGCUAAAAGGCCCGUAGUAAGACCUGGAUGUUCUCGUAAUUGGAUCAAAUUGGUCUUCGCGUCAGAUUGACUAAGAGGUCCGUAGUAAGACCUAGAUGUUCCUGUAAUUGGACCACAUUGGGUGGCCCGACCAAGUUAGGUCUCAUAUUUAGUAAGACCUAGAUUGGAUGUCUUGAAAUUGGAUCUAAUUGGCUCUUCGAACUAGGCUCACCCGUCGUUGAAUUCAUCCAUUCCCUUCCUGCUGACUCCCGUUAUUGGAAUCGAAUGGAGCAUUUCAGUAUGUCCCGACUGACUGUAACGGGGUGACUGAACCUUAAUAAAAGUCUCCUUUCUUUAUAUUUUCACGGCAUACUCGUGUUAUAACAUGACAUUCAUCUCCUCUGAACCUGUGCAUCCUCCGGUAUGCACCAAUUUAUCCAAUUGUUGUUUGAUUUAGAAUAUAUUCUCUACGUCUUUGUCUUGUUCGUCUUCGUCACCUUCAUUAUCCAAAUCACUUUCAUCUUCUUGCUGCGGAAUCUCUAUACCUUCAUUAAAGUCUUCCAUAUUCAUCUCCGCGUGUCUUCGUUUAUAUAUUUUUACUCGCUUCCCUGCAAUUGGUAUUUUCAAUUUUGUACCAUCUAACUCCCGUAAUGAGUAAGUCGCAUUAUCAUGAACAGUUGUUACUACAUAUGGUCCAAACCAACGUUUUGAAAAUUUCCGCAAGGUACUAUGUUGAUUAUCCAGACUAUUGUCAUAAACAAGUACCCAGUCACCUUCCUUAAUUGCUUUAGGUUUCAAUCGAUGUUGCUUAUUGAAUUGCGCCUUGUUUUGUAAUCUUGCGCUUUUUAACCUUUCCAAUGCUAUCUGCACAUCUUUCGAUCUUUGCUCCAAUUGUCGAAUCCUAAUAGCCAGAAGUUCUUCUCUUGUCAAUCCAUCUUCCCAUGGUAGCAUACUCCAAGUAAGUACCUUUUCUUCAAUCGGCAUAAUUGGUUUUCGACCUAUCAUAAGUUCUACUGGCAUAUAUCCUGUCACCGAACUAUGUGUUGUUCGAUCAGCCCAUAAUGCAAAUGAUAAAAGCCGUGGCCACUCUUUAACUUUCCCAUUACAAGCUUUAACUAAUGCUUUCACAAUCGGUGGAUGACCACGUUCGCUUUUUGCAUUCCCUUCCGGAUUAUAAGCAGUAGUCAGUGAUAGUUUAACUCCACAUCUUUCAAAGAACUUAUGAGCUUCUUGUGCAUUUAAUUCUCCACGAUCUGCAGUGAUUUUUCCUACGCAUCCAUAGCGGCAAAUGACAUCUUCAAGCAAAAACCUACAAAUCUCCUUUGUAGAUUUUGUCCUCAAUGCUCUUCCUUCUACUUGAUUUGAUAAAUUUUCACGAGCUAAAACCAAAUAUCUCAUCUGCCAUAACCCAACUGGCAUAAUAACCAAAUCAACAACCCAUUUAAAAUGAAUAGCCAGAGAAUACGUAGGAUGAAGACCAUCUCGAUGUCGGAUAUUAGAAUACGAUUGAUAGAUUUCACAUGACUCUACAAAUGACAGCACAUCUCGAUACAUAUUUUUCCACCAAUAUCGUUCUUUGAGUUUAGCAAAAGUAGCCCAGAUUCCUCUAUGCUCUGCCCAUAAACUAUCAUGGAACUCCUUUAAUAAUUUUAGUUUUUCUUCUUUUUUGCCUAUCACUCGUUGUGGCAUCCCAAUUCCUUUCUUCGGUCUCUUCCAUAAGAAUCCAUCUCGAAGCAAAAAUCCAUACGCUUUUUUUCUUAUUUGUUUGAAUUUUUCUGUAGAUCAAUUCCCUGCUUAGUCAAGGUAUUCAAGUAAUGACCAAUAUCCAAUAAUUCUCCUUCAUAAGAUUCUUCAAGAAAUAGCUUGUCUUCUCUGUGGAGAUUUGAUAUUGAAUAGAAUUUCAAUCCGACGUCAUCAAUGUCUUCAACCAUUUUGUCCUCCUUCUCGUAUCUUGCUCGAGAUAGCAUGUCUGCUACUAAAUUGUCGUUCCCAGUAACAUGCUUAAAUUCAGGAUUUAGUGACUUAAUAUAAGCAAUCCAUCUCAACAUUGCAAUAUCUGGCAUUGAACAGUUAGUAAUCAUUCUAAGCAAUGGCAAGCAAUCUGUUUCAAUUACUACUACUGCCCCAAUCAAAUAGUCCUUUUUAGCUUUCAUAGCCAAAACAACUCCCCAAAGUUCUCUUUUGACUUGUGAAUAUGCACGCUAACGAAUACUUAAAACUUUAGCUCCAAAUCGAACUGCAAAUCUAUUCCCAUUUGAAUCAUCUUGAUCCACAGUCCAUCCAAUGGCAAUUGGACUAGCGUCCACAAUAAGAAUCACUGGUCUAUUGUACUUAUAAUCAACCUUCUUCAAUAUUGGAGGUGACAUCAAUAAUUUCUUUUAUCUUUGCAUUGCGUGAAUAUGCCUUUCUUCUCAUUUAAAUCGGUAGCCCUUGCCUAACAGUUCAUAUAUUGGAUCCGCUUUGUCAGCAUAAUGAGGGAUCCAGAUUCGAUAAAAUACACAUGCACCCAAAAACCUACGAACCUCUGUUAAAGAAUCACAAUCCUCUUUCAUCCUUCCAAUUGCAUCAACUUUAGUCGGAUCUAGUUUUCUUCCAUAAGAUCCACAUAAAUGUCCAACAAUCACAACCUCUCGUACUCCAAAUACGGACUUCGUAUCCGAUAAUGUAAGAUGAACUUCUCCAAGCCGAGUUAAAAUCUUUUCACAAUCUUGUAUAUGAUCAACAACAUAUUUGCGACAUCCCCUCUUAUCUAAAGUUUCAUCCUUGUCUCCUUCUCUGCACCCUUUUAUAGGAACAUCAUCCAGAAAAGGCAUAGUCUUUUCCGGAAUAAAAUCUCUUAAUACCUUAUUCAUCCCAUUCAUCAUAUGCGCAACUGAGUUGGUCGCGCCUUGAGGAAGAGUGCACAUUCUAACCAAUCCAAGUGGUGUCCUCAUCGUUGUCAUAUCUCUACUUCCUUCGGCAAGUUGAAAUUGAUCAUAACCUGAAUACAAGUCACCCAUUGAAUAGAUCGCCCUUCCAGCAAACGCCUCAGCAAAUUCAUCCACAAUAGGUCCAAUUCUUGCAUUCCUGACAAUUACUGCAUUCACCGGUUGCAUAUCUUGAAUAAACCGUAGUAACCCAUUUUUCUUAGGUACCGUAAACCAUCGACUAGAAUACGGCACAAAUGAAGGUUCCAAUAUUUUUAUCUUUAUCUUUUCUUUUAAUAGUUCCACCAAUUUAGGUAAUUGCCUCUUUCGCUUAAUGCUGUCAAUGAUAACAUCAUGAAACUCCUUCUUUACAAUUCCUAAGACUUUUUUUAAUGUGAAUUCCACGUUAGCAUUUAAUAUACGUUCUUUCAACACCCCUUUCAAAUUUGUUGCCACUUCAAUGUCAGAAAGUAGCUUAUAAGUAAUUGAUUUGCCCUUAUCUUUUGUCUCCCUUAUUUUUUCUUCCAAUGAUGUUGAGGUAUCUUUUACAGGCAAUUCUUGUGAAGCUGCCUCCCGAGCCUUGUCUCCUCGAGUUUGCCUCUUAAAAAAAUUUCCUCGUUUCUUUUCUUCCAUCAAAGCUUCAUGUUGGCUCUUAGCAAUAUAUGCAUGAACUGAAUGAGACUCAAUAGGAUCUUCUCAACCUGUUGCACCUCGUAUUGUAGCUGCAGUCCUCAAUAAUGCUUCUCGAGGUAAAUUCCCUCCUUGCAUUGUAGAAAUGGUAGAAGCCCAAAACUCACUAGUUUUUGUUCUUCUACCAAGGUCAUCAUCUACUCUAGCACCAUAACUUGCACUUUCUCGUGCUGCUGUUUCAUGCACUUUUAAGUAAUCUUGAACCAAUGCUCUCAUUCCUCCCUUGCCAAAAUUGGUUUGAAGAAGAUCCUCCCUAUCUUUUAAUGCUAUCUUCCCAUCUUUCCAGCAAAUAAUUCCUUGCCGUAUCAUAUUAUUAAAUUCAUUGCAAUCUUUUCUAGUGUGUGAAGCGUCAUCACACCAAAUGCAUCUUUGUACAUAUCCUUGUUUUGAAACAUUCUUCGAAUUGUUUGUAGAAGUAUUCUCUUCAAGUCUUGCCAAUUUGAUUUGAAGCUCUCGCAUUCCUCGUAUAAUUUCUUCCAUCCUCAUAUCUCCUUUCUUUGAUAAUGAUGUCGAAGGUUGAAUUGUAGGCAUUGUUGGUGGUGUUGUACGUACUAGAGCUUUGGGUGCUUGUACUGUUUUCAAAAUAUUGCUCCUAUCUUUCCUCCUUUCUCUUUUUGUAAGCAACCCUACCGCAUCUUCAACGUUCUUCCACUUUGUUGUCAAUCCUUCAUCUUCUUCUUUGUCUUCAAGAAGGAGUUCCAAUUUUCCUUGCAAUUCUCCAUCAGCAGCUUGAAGAAAUAGAUCAACUUUGUUUGGCUCCAAUGUCAAUUUUUCUACCUUCGAUAAUUGAGAGUACUGCCUCUCAAAUUCUCUUAGUAGCUUUGUUGCUUGUAAAUUCUUAUUAGGCCGUUCAAUCCAUUCCAGAAACAGCUUCUUAGUAAUGCGAUCAACAUCUUCCAAGAAAUAUUUGUCUUUCAAUGCAUGUAAAAAAACCUCCCAUGAAUUCCCAUAACGAUCCAUAAUCGAUGUAAUAUGGUCUCUUAUCUCCGGUAUCGUGGCAAGUCCAAAUAAUUCAACCAUUUUCUUCUUAGAAAUCCGAUUUAAUUCCAUUUCACGAACAUAACAUCUUAAAUACCUUGAAAUAUUCCUUCCAUCAAAUUGAUCAAUUUUAUUGAUCACAGCUUGCAAUGCUUUGGUUGCCAAAGCUUCCUUUCGAUCAUUGCUUUGCUGUUGCUGCAUUGAUAAUGAGAAGGCUUGAAACAUACUAGCAAUAGAUGGAUCCAUGUGCAUACCUUGUCCUUUAGAAGAACCCCCACCAGAAACUCCUCCCAUAAAUCCUUAAAUUUUUUUAUUUUUGUUUUCCAUAAAAUAAAAAUAAAAAUAAAAAUAAAAUCAAACCAAAUCCAAUACCUUCCACCUCAAGCUUUCACGUCGGGUUCACUACUUUAUGUCAUAUUACGUGCUUUCCUUCUCGAAAACGUGCCGGGUGUCUGGCUAUAGAAGGUAGUAUAGAGAUUCGCCAAUAUUCAAGCAGUCUAUCGGUUAUUGACUGUUGGAAUAUAAACGACUACAAGAAUACACCGUAAAUCUAUACGGAUGCCCUUCGACAACUUGUCGAAGUCCUUUUUGCCCCAACUCGUAGGUCUCUAGACGUUACAGAGAACCCCGAACAACCCAAACUGCUAAUCUUCGAUACCGCUUUAUACUCACGAUCUUGUAUCCACUGACUGUCUCGUUAGAUUAAUCCAAUAAAUUUCAUUCACUCCGCAUACUCAAUCCUAUAGAAAUCCUUUUAAUUCUUCAAUCACAGACGUAACUUCGAUUUCACAAAACAAUCAAGAGUAAUCAAACCUACUUCAUUAAAAAUCCCGAUUCACCAUUACAACACUGACUUCAGCAACGAUUGCCUCAGUCUUCCCAAAACCCUAUAAAGAAAAAAAACCCCAAUCUCUGUCUUUUUUCCUCGCCCCGAAGCAUGAAGCUAG